GGUAUCAGAAGUGCGAAUGCUGACAUAAGUAACGAUAAAGCGGGUGAAAAGCCCGCUCGCCGGAAGACCAAGGGUUCCUGUCCAACGUUAAUCGGGGCAGGGUGAGUCGACCCCUAAGGCGAGGCCGAAAGGCGUAGUCGAUGGGAAACGGGUUAAUAUUCCCGUACUUGGUGUUACUGCGAAGGGGGGACGGAGAAGGCUAUGUUGGCCGGGCGACGGUUGUCCCGGUUUAAGCGUGUAGGUGUGUGUUCCAGGUAAAUCCGGUUCACUUUAACACUGAGGCGUGACGACGAGGCACUACGGUGCUGAAGCAACAAAUGCCCUGCUUCCAGGAAAAGCCUCUAAGCAUCAGGUAACAUCAAAUCGUACCCCAAACCGACACAGGUGGUCAGGUAGAGAAUACCAAGGCGCUUGAGAGAACUCGGGUGAAGGAACUAGGCAAAAUGGUGCCGUAACUUCGGGAGAAGGCACGCUGACACGUAGGUGAAGUGAUUUACUCAUGGAGCUGAAGUCAGUCGAAGAUACCAGCUGGCUGCAACUGUUUAUUAAAAACACAGCACUGUGCAAACACGAAAGUGGACGUAUACGGUGUGACGCCUGCCCGGUGCCGGAAGGUUAAUUGAUGGGGUCAGCGCAAGCGAAGCUCCUGAUCGAAGCCCCGGUAAACGGCGGCCGUAACUAUAACGGUCCUAAGGUAGCGAAAUUCCUUGUCGGGUAAGUUCCGACCUGCACGAAUGGCGUAAUGAUGGCCAGGCUGUCUCCACCCGAGACUCAGUGAAAUUGAACUCGCUGUGAAGAUGCAGUGUACCCGCGGCAAGACGGAAAGACCCCGUGAACCUUUACUAUAGCUUGACACUGAACAUUGAGCCUUGAUGUGUAGGAUAGGUGGGAGGCUUUGAAGUGUGGACGCCAGUCUGCAUGGAGCCGACCUUGAAAUACCACCCUUUAAUGUUUGAUGUUCUAACGUGGACCCGUUACCCGGGUUGCGGACAGUGUCUGGUGGGUAGUUUGACUGGGGCGGUCUCCUCCUAAAGAGUAACGGAGGAGCACGAAGGUUGGCUAAUCCUGGUCGGACAUCAGGAGGUUAGUGCAAUGGCAUAAGCCAGCUUGACUGCGAGCGUGACGGCGCGAGCAGGUGCGAAAGCAGGUCAUAGUGAUCCGGUGGUUCUGAAUGGAAGGGCCAUCGCUCAACGGAUAAAAGGUACUCCGGGGAUAACAGGCUGAUACCGCCCAAGAGUUCAUAUCGACGGCGGUGUUUGGCACCUCGAUGUCGGCUCAUCACAUCCUGGGGCUGAAGUAGGUCCCAAGGGUAUGGCUGUUCGCCAUUUAAAGUGGUACGCGAGCUGGGUUUAGAACGUCGUGAGACAGUUCGGUCCCUAUCUGCCGUGGGCGCUGGAGAACUGAGGGGGGCUGCUCCUAGUACGAGAGGACCGGAGUGGACGCAUCACUGGUGUUCGGGUUGUCAUGCCAAUGGCACUGCCCGGUAGCUAAAUGCGGAAGAGAUAAGUGCUGAAAGCAUCUAAGCACGAAACUUGCCCCGAGAUGAGUUCU
rnacentral:rRNA from 11 species